rnacentral:lncRNA from 1 species
AUUUUAUAUAUAUGCUCAAAUGCUUAGUUUUACAAAAAUUUAUCGAAAGUGUGUUUGGUUCAAUCGAAAUGAAUGUUAUAUUUUAUGAAUUACGUGAACGCUUCUGCUCUUUAGUUGAAUUACAUGGAGAUGUAAAAUUAUAUAAAAACGAUUCAGAUCAAAUAAAUAAAGAUGUUUAUAAGCAUACAAAUCAUAAUAUAAUAACCGAACAUAAAAUCAGUUAUACAAAUGAAUACAUUUUUAAUCACCUAUAUUUUAUUAAAUGCUUUUUAUGUAUUCGCAUACUUUUUAAUAUUUUAAAAAAUUUUACAUUCGCUAACUCUAUUUAUCAAUACUGCUUUUCUUUGUUCUUUUCGUAUUUUAAGAAUAAAGGAAAGAUUAUUGCUCCUGGAAAGUUUUGGAAAGAGGUAUUCAACGAAUGUACAAAACGAUACAUCGAAAUGUAUAAACAAGUACCAAAAAAUAUUUUCAAAAUGAAGCAAAAACAGUUACAUAUAAAUUCACUUGAAUUAACACAAGAUGAAGAACAUGAGCAGUAUCAAUUAUUUGAAAAAUAUUUUACAUACUUUUUCAAUACUUAUAUUAAAGGUUAUGGUAUACCUCAACAUAUAAUUACAUUUAAUAUUCAUUUACAAAGAAAAGGGACAUCCAUGGAUAAUUUUAAUUUCUUAGUUGCACAAAAUGCAAUUACUCCAUUUGAUUUUUGCAAUAACAACUUUCAUUCAAAUUAUUUUCUUGCAGAUAUCGCAUCUAUGAAUGUGUACAGCUUACUACAACUAAAUAAACAUUUGGAUAUAAAAACUAAAUUAUACAUUAGUAAAAUAAAUGGAAAUGUGUGUGCAAAUUAUACUCGGCACAGUAAAAAAUGGAAAAACACUAGUAGAACUAAACCCAAAACGGGUGAACGAAAAACUUUUUACAUUACUCAAGGAAGGACUCAUCUUGAUAAAAUUAUAUUCGAAAUUUUUUUAAAUCAACCAUAUAUACAUACAUAUGAUAACAUAGAAAAAAAAUACAUACAAUUUUUAAAAAUAAAUAAAUAUUAUGAUAUAGACCAUACUUAUGAUUAUCCAUUAGGUUUGUUUAGUACCAAAAAAAACACUAUUAUUAACCAAUUUAUUAUAAAAAAAAAUGUUAAAAAUAAAAAAAAUAUUUAUUUUUUGAUAAAAAAACAACCUACUAUUUUUACGAAAGGUUAUCGACGCAAACUAAAUAAAAUGAUAGAAAAGGGGGUGAAUAUUCAAGUGAAGGACAAUCAACUAGAAGGAGUAAACAAGCAAAAAAAUAAAAAUAAAAAUAAAAAAAUAAAAAAAAAUAGAGACAAUAUUAUAAACAAAUGUACUAACACAAGCAAAAACGAUAAAAAUCAAAUGUAUAAGCAAUUAAAAACUGGUAGUACAGAAAAAAUGGCACAAAUUAAUAAUCAAAACGAUGUACAAACAAGUGUACACUCUGCAGAAGCAUAUAUGAUGUAUAAUAAUGACGUAUAUAACAAACAAAUACAUAAAGAUAACCAAAAUGAUGUUUAUAUACAAAUGAUGAAUCAUAAAGAAACCGACUCAACUGACAUGAUUGCUAAUAAUGCAAAAAUCGAAAAAAAAAAAAAAAAAAAAAAAAAUGAUUUACAAAGAAAUCAAAGCACAAAAGAAAUAGAAAAAAGCCUUACCAAAAGUGACCAUCAUCGUAAUAAAAAAAAAAAAAAAAAAAUAAAAUAAAAAAUAAAACAAUGACAAACAUAAAACA